AGAGUUUGAUUCUGGCUCAGGAUGAACGCUGGCGGCGUGCUUAACACAUGCAAGUCGAGCGAAGCGCUUACGACAGAACCUUCGGGGGAAGAUGUAAGGGACUGAGCGGCGGACGGGUGAGUAACGCGUGGGUAACCUGCCUCAUACAGGGGGAUAACAGUUGGAAACGGCUGCUAAUACCGCAUAAGCGCACAGUAUCGCAUGGUACGGUGUGAAAAACUCCGGUGGUAUGAGAUGGACCCGCGUCUGAUUAGCUAGUUGGAGGGGUAACGGCCCACCAAGGCGACGAUCAGUAGCCGGCCUGAGAGGGUGAACGGCCACAUUGGGACUGAGACACGACCCAGACUCCUACGGGAGGCAGCAGUGGGGAAUAUUGCACAAUGGGGGAAACCCUGAUGCAGCGACGCCGCGUGAAGGAAGAAGUAUCUCGGUAUGUAAACUUCUAUCAGCAGGGAAGAAAAUGACGGUACCUGACUAAGAAGCCCCGGCUAACUACGUGCCAGCAGCCGCGGUAAUACGUAGGGGGCAAGCGUUAUCCGGAUUUACUGGGUGUAAAGGGAGCGUAGACGGAAGAGCAAGUCUGAUGUGAAAGGCUGGGGCUUAACCUCAGGACUGCAUUGGAAACUGUUUUUCUUGAGUGCCGGAGAGGUAAGCGGAAUUCCUAGUGUAGCGGUGAAAUGCGUAGAUAUUAGGAGGAACACCAGUGGCGAAGGCGGCUUACUGGACGGUAACUGACGUUGAGGCUCGAAAGCGUGGGGAGCAAACAGGAUUAGAUACCCUGGUAGUCCACGCCGUAAACGAU
rnacentral:rRNA from 1 species